rnacentral:rRNA from 1 species
UACCCGCAGCACAAGUGGUGGUCAUUAUUAUUGGGCCUAAAGCGUCCGUAGCUGGCUUGUUAGAUGCCUGGGUAAAUCGAUGCGCUCAACGCAUCGAAUUCCGGGUAGACCGGCAAGCUCGAGACCGGGAGAGGUGUAGGGUACUCGGGGGGUAGGGGUAAAAUCCUGUAAUCCUCCGGGGACGACCAGUGGCGAAGGCGCUACACUAGAACGGCUCUGACAGUGAGGGACGAAGCCCUGGGGCGCAAACCGG